rnacentral:rRNA from 1 species
UACGUAGGUGACCAGCGUUGUCCGGAUUUACUGGGCGUAAAGAGCGCGCAGGCGGUCGUUCAAGUCGCGUGUGAAAGCCCCCGGCUCAACUGGGGAGGGUCAUUCGAUACUGAUCGACUCGAAGGCAGGAGAGGGAAGUGGAAUUCCCGGUGUAGUGGUGAAAUGCGUAGAUAUCGGGAGGAACACCAGUGGCGAAGGCGACUUCCUGGCCUGUUCUUGACGCUGAGGCGCGAAAGCUAGGGGAGCAAACGGG